AGGAAGACUAGAAGAGUUAGUAGGUGAAACUGUCAAGUAAGAGAGAGAGUGAUGCUAGGUAGAGUCAGACAGGGAGAGAGGUAUAGAGAGACAGACAGGUAGAGAUGUAUAGAGAGACAGACAGGGAGAGAGGUAUAGAGAGACAGACAGGGAGAGAGGUAUAGAGAGACACACAGGUAGAGAGGUAUAGAGAGACAGACAGGUACAGAUGUAUAGAGAGACAGACAGGUAGAGAUGUACAGAGAGACAGACAGGUAGAGAGGUAUAGAGAGACAGACAAGUAGAGAUGUAUAGAGAAACAGACAGGAAGAGAGGUAUAGAGAGACAGACAGGUAGAAAUGUAUAGAGAGACAGACAGGUAGAGAGGUAUAGAGAGACAGACAGGUAGAGAUGUAUAGAGAGACAGACAGGUAGAGAUGUAUAGAGACAGACAGGUAGAGAGGUAUAGAGAGACAGACAGGUAGAGAGGUAUAGAGAGACAGACAGGUAGAGAUGCAUAGAGAGACAGACAGGUAGAGAGGUUUAGAGAGACAGACAGGUAGAGAGGUAUAUAGAGAGAGACAGAUAGAGAGGUAUAGAGAGACAGACAGGUAGAGAGGUAUAUAGAGAGACAGGUAGAGAGGGGAGAUGGUAUAGAGAGACAGACAGGUAGAAAGGUAUAGAGAGAAGACAGGGAGAGAGGUAUAGAACCAGACAGGUAGAGAGGGGAGAUGGUAUGCUAGAGGUAGAGAGACAGACAGGCAGAGAGGUUUAGAGAGACAGACAGGUAGAAAUGUAUAGAGAGACAGACAGGUAGAGAGGUACAGAGAGACAGGUAGAGAGGGGAGAUGGUAUGCUAGAGGUAUAGAUACAGACAGGUAGAGAGGGGAGAUGGCAUGCUGGAGGUAUAAAGAGACAGACAGGUAGAGAGGGGAGAUGGCAUGCUGGAGGUAUAAAGAGACAGACAGGUAGAGGGGGGAGAUGGCAUGCUGGAGUUAUAGAGAGACAGACAGGAAGAGAGGGGAGAUGGCAUGCUGGAGGUAUAAAGAGACAGACAGGUAGAGGGGAGAUGGCAUGCUGGAGGUAUAGAGAGACAGACAGGAAGAGAGGGGAGAUGGCAGGCUGGAGGUAUAAAGAGACAGACAGGUAGAGGGGAGAUGGCAUGCUGGAGGUAUAAAGAGACAGACAGGGUAGAGAGGUAUAGAGAGACAGACAGGUAGAGAGGUAUAGAGAGACAGACAGGUAGAGGGGGGAGAUGUCAUGCUGGAGGUAUAGAGAGACAGACAGGAAGAGAGGGGAGAUGGCAUGCUGGAGGUAUAAAGAGACAGACAGGUAGAGGGGAGAUGGCAUGCUGGAGGUAUAGAGAGACAGACAGGAAGAGAGGGGAGAUGGCAGGCUGGAGGUAUAAAGAGACAGACAGGUAGAGGGGAGAUGGCAUGCUGGAGGUAUAAAGAGACAGACAGGGUAGAGAGGUAUAGAGAGACAGACAGGUAGAGAGGUAUAGAGAGACAGACAGGUAGAGGGGGGAGAUGUCAUGCUGGAGGUAUAAAGAGACAGACAGGAAGAGAGGGGAGAUGGCAUGCUGGAGGUAUAAAGAGACAGACAGGUAGAGAGGUAUAGAGAGACAGACAGGUAGAGGGGGGAGAUGGCAUGCUGGAGGUAUAGAGAGACAGACAGGAAGAGAGGGGAGAUGGCAGGCUGGAGGUAUAAAGAGACAGACAGGUAGAGGGGAGAUGGCAUGCUGGAGGUAUAAAGAGACAGACAGGUAGAGGGGAGAUGGCAGGCUGGAGGUAUAAAGAGACAGACAGGUAGAGAGGUAUAUAGAGACAGACAGGUAGAGGGGGGAGAUGGCAUGCUGGAGGUAUAAAGAGACAGACAGGUAGAGAGGUAUAGAGAGACAGACAGGUAGAGAGGGGAGAUGGCAUGCUGGAGGUAUAGAGAGACAGACAGGUAGAGGGGAGAUGGCAUGCUGGAGGUAUAAAGAGACAGACAGGUAGAGAGGUAUAGAGAGACAGACAGGUAGAGGGGAGAUGGCAUGCUGGAGGUAUAAAGAGACAGACAGGUAGAGAGGUAUAGAGAGACAGACAGGUAGAGGGGGGAGAUGGCAUGCUGGAGGUAUAGAGAGACAGACAGGUAGAGGGGAGAUGGCAGGCUGGAGGUAUAAAGAGACAGACAGGUAGAGAGGUAUAGAGAGACAGACAGGUAGAGGGGGGAGAUGGCAUGCUGGAGGUAUAAAGAGACAGACAGGUAGAGAGGUAUAGAGAGACAGACAGGUAGAGGGGGGAGAUGGCAUGCUGGAGGUAUAGAGAGACAGACAGGUAGAGGGGAGAUGGCAUGCUGGAGGUAUAAAGAGACAGACAGGUAGAGGGGGGAGAUGGCAUGCUGGAGUUAUAGAGAGACAGACAGGAAGAGAGGGGAGAUGGCAUGCUGGAGGUAUAAAGAGACAGACAGGUAGAGGGGAGAUGGCAUGCUGGAGGUAUAGAGAGACAGACAGGAAGAGAGGGGAGAUGGCAGGCUGGAGGUAUAAAGAGACAGACAGGUAGAGGGGAGAUGGCAUGCUGGAGGUAUAGAAAGACAGACAGGUAGAGGGGAUAUGGCAUGCUGGAGGUAUAAAGAGACAGACAGGUAGAGGGGGAGAUGGCAUGCUGGAGGUAUAGAGAGACAGACAAGAAGAGAGGGGAGAUGGCAUGCUGGAGGUAUAAAGAGACAGACAGGUAGAGAGGGGAGAUGGCAUGCUGGAGGUAUAGAGAGACAGACAGGAAGAGAGGGGAGAUGGCAUGCUGGAGGUAGAGAGACAGACAGGUAGAGGGGAGAUGGCAUGCUGGAGGUAUAGAGAGAAAGACAGGUAGAGAGGGGAGAUGGCAUGCUGGGGGUAUAGAGAGAAAGACAGGUAGAGAGGGGAGAUGGCAUGCUGGAGGUAGAGAGACAGACAGGUA